rnacentral:rRNA from 1 species
GACGUAGGAGGCGAGCGUUGUCCGGAUUCAUUGGGCGUAAAGAGCGCGCAGGCGGCUUGGUAAGUCGGAUGUGAAAACCCGAGGCUCAACCUCGGGCGUGCAUCCGAAACUGCUCGGCUAGAGGUAGGUAGGGGAGAUCGGAAUUCCUGGUGUAGCGGUGAAAUGCGCAGAUAUCAGGAGGAACACCGGUGGCGAAGGCGGAUC